UAAUAUUUUGUAAUAAAUUUAUAUAAGUUAACCCUGGUUUAUGAGACUUCAGAUGUAAAAGAUCUUGAUUUUACAAGCAAAUAUAAUUCAUACCGAAACUCAGUUUAUGAGCCUUUUCCUGAUUUUAUGAGAAAUUUGUAAUGAGUGAAUGUUUCAAAAGAUGGAUAAGGCACCCCCUUGUAAUCUUGCUAAUAUAGAGGAAUUUAAAGAGUUCCAAUAUCAUCUAGCCUUUUUUAUGCCAGGAACAAUCAUAUAAAGUUUUCAAUAGAGUGAAACUCAGAUUCAGUUCCAGGUCUUCUGAGUUUAAAGCUAAUGCAUUUUCACUCAAAUAAUCCAGUAAACUCCAUAAUGGGAUCAGUCCUAAAAUGAUGGAUGGAAUUUAUCAACCCAGGUCCAAAUCUCUACAGAAGAAAUUUUGAGAUACAAGUUUCUGAAUUGAACCUAAAUGUUUCAUGUGAUAAGCUAACAUUUACCAAGUUGCAAUAUAUUAGACAAAUGGCAAUAUCAAAAUUAGUUAGGGAAAUGGAAUGUUUCUUCAAAUUUACAUGCUUUUAUAUUAUGUUUCUUUCUUGUGUUCUUGAUGAAAUAUUUAAUACCAUAUUAUACCAUUGAUUUUUGAUUAAUGUUCCUAGUGAAUUAUUAUGGAUAUUGUUUUCUUUUAUUGAAUAUUUUAUGAAAUUUUUAAAGACCAUUAAGUAUUUGCUUUUGGAUACAUUUUAUUCUUUUCCAGUUUUAUGUUGCUUUCUAUUUAGAAAUUAGUAAAUAGCAAGGCCAUUCUUAAGAUAAAUUGCUGACUGCCACCACUGUGCAUGAUUGAGUAUGCUAACAGGUGCUGAAAAUUGAGUUUCUGUUAGAAGACCAGGAUUGAACCUGGCCCAUUCCUUGAGAAAUUUGAAGAUCCCAGAUUCAGUUUCAGUUUUUCAAUCCCUACCUCUACAGUAUUUGCUAAUCUCGAUACAGAUAUGGGACUUAUAAUAAACAUUGAAAUUGGAUUAUUUUUUAAUUAUAAAAUGAUUUGAUAGUGGCAUUAAGAAAACACCAAAGUUAACAUAAAUUAACAUAUUAUUCAAGGAUGGGGAUUGAUGGACAAAGCACAGGUUUUUUUAAAACAUGUACAGGUAAGGGAUUCUGAUUUGAAAUUGAAUAAGGCUAAAUGAUAUAUGAUAAUAUUACCUG
rnacentral:lncRNA from 1 species